rnacentral:rRNA from 1 species
UACAGAGGUCUCAAGCGUUGUUCGGAUUCAUUGGGCGUAAAGGGUGCGUAGGUGGCGGGGCCAGUCAGGUGUGAAAUCCCGGGGCUUAACCCUGGAACUGCAUUUGAUACUGCCUUGCUGGAGAACUGGAGAGGAGACUGGAAUUUACGGUGUAGCAGUGAAAUGCGUAGAGAUCGUAAGGAAGACUAGUGGCGAAGGCGAGUCUCUGGACAGUUACUGACACUGAGGCACGAAGGCCAGGGGAGCAAACGGG